CUAAAAACCCUCUCUUCCUCACUUCACCACUUUCUUUUUUUCCUUCGUCUCCAACUCCUUAUCUCUUCGGCGACGCGAAGCGCUUGGGUUGCUUUCUUCUUCGGCGACGCGACAGUGCUAGAGGGUUUCCUUCUUUUUCGGCGACUCGGCAGCGCUAGGGUUUUAUUUUCUCCUCGACUCGACGGUAGAAGAAGGACAAAGGCGAUUCCGUAUCCUAAUAGGGGAUCAAGAUGGGCAUCGUGUUGUCAAAGUUGAAUGAAUUUGGGAUACUCUUCCACCAUAAGAUUCUCAAGAGGAGGAUGUCAGCAUGACGGGCACUUUUUCUAAGAAUCUUCUAUAUUUACAAUGAAUUUCUCUUCAAAUAAAUGGCCUGAUGAUUCAAUUGUGGGUGGUCGGUUUAGUUGGUUAUAUAUGAGUGUCUUUUUUAUCUAUCACUGUAGUGUUUUGAAUCUUUUCCUUGUUGAUAAAAUUCCCCGUUACAAAA